AGUCCAUUUCCUACACGGUCAUCCUGCACACUUUGUGUUCAGAUAUUAAAGGCUACAUCUUUAUCUUUUUGUUUGCCAUGCAUUACACUUGGGGACAUGGGCAGCAUAUCUGCCCUCUCUCCAAAAGGUUAGACACAAGUUCACGUCUUUCUGCAAGCCAUAGCUUAGAAUCCUUAGUGCUGUGCACCUGUGCUAAAUUUGCCUUCUGUUCCCUUUUCAUUUUUUCUUCUAUAUUUUUUUUUUCAGACAUCCAGUGUUUAUUUUGCUUUUGCAGAGGAAUAUACCUUCUGAAGAGUCACUAGUCACAUCCAAGUGGAAUAGAGAAUUGGAAGGCAGACUUUCUAAGGCUAUGUACACAUCAGUGUGAUGUCUGCACAAUGCAACAUCGCCUGCGACGGGACCUCAACAUUGGCAAGUGCAUACACAUUUGCCGAUGUCUGCUGCAAUGAGUUUUUAUCCCAGCUUUCUAUGACUUUUCUGGGCAGAGAUAUUGCAUUUACCCCAAACGUCCACAACAGUGAAAAAUGUCAUACGCCAUGAUACAUAAAUGGCCGCCAUCUUCAUAUGAAGAGGCAAUUUCUGCUCUUGAAGUAUCCUGUAAUGAUAAUUCUUCAUGUGUAAAUUGCACCACCCAGUGAGCAAAGCAUCCUACAAUGUUACCGAUAAAAAGGCCGGUUGCUUCAUAUUGGAAAACUACAUUGUGCAGCACUAAGUAUUUAUACAGUAUAAGUAUUUGAUAAUUACACACACAGUUUCACAACAGUAUGUUAUUGUAGGCAUGUGACUGAGGUGUACAGAUUGAGCUACAGAUAAAACGGUUAUAUUGGUCUUUAAAAGCCCCUUAUGUACUUAAAUGUUUUAAAUGUAUCCAUGUUGCCUGUUCUUUUCUUUUGAAACGUACAGAACAUUUUGUAAUCUUGACUGAUCUGGAAUUCAUUUA